rfam:Triticum aestivum genome assembly, contig: Triticum_aestivum_CS42_TGACv1_scaffold_582368_7BL
AAAUUACUCCCUCCGUCCCAAAAUUCUUGUCUUAGAUUUGUCUAGAUACGGAUGUAUCAAGUCACAUUUUAGUAUUAGAUACAUCCAUAUCUAGACAAAUCUAAGACAAGAAAUACGGAUGUAUCAAGUUGAAA